CAAUUGAGACAGUUCUUCAAGCUUAGAACGGAGAGGAUGGUUGGUAUAUUGAAGGGAGCGAAAUAUGAAUUUAUCAGAUAAAUAUUGUCGCCUAAGAUAUAAUGGGGCAUCAACACAUUCUACUUGUAAAGCAUUAAUUGGACUAGUUUUCAUAGCUCCUGUAAUAAAUCUUAAUGCCUUAGACUGUAUAUUAUCUAAUUUUUUAAAACGGGUUGUAUUUCCAGGAGAUAAUAAAAAGGUACCAUAGUCUAAAAUACUUCGGAUUAAAGCGUUGUACAUAAGUUUCAUACAAAAGGGAUGGGCACCCCACCAUACACCGGAUAAACAUCUAAGGAUGUUUAGGUUUCGCUCACACCUAUUAAAAAUGUAGUCACAAUGAUGUACGCCAGAUAGCUUAGAAUCUAAAAACACACCGAGGAACUUUACAGAGUUUUUAACAGGGAUAAUAAUACUACCAAAAUACACAGUGAUCGGAGGAGGAAGUCGCUUUCUAGAAAAAAGCAUGGCAACACUUUUAGUGGGGGAUAUUUCAAGACCAUUAGUAUCAAGCCAUGUUUUUAAUAAAUUAAGAGAAUGAGACAGUACUGAGCAAGCAAUGGCCGGUGAUUGAUGAAUGGAAUAAAGUAAAAGGUCAUCAGCAUACUGAAGAAUACAAAUCCGAUUUCCAAAAGAAGCUUUCAAAUCAUGGGUAUAAAUAUUAUAUAAAAUGGGACUUAAUACUGAUCCUUGAGGAAGACCUCUCCAUAAGGUUCUAGUUACAGCAGUAGAGUCUUGUGAAAUUAGAGUGAUGUGUCUUUCAUAUAAAUUAUUUAUGAUAAAAUUUGAUAACAUUACAGGUACAUUUAAAUACUGUAGUUUUUUAUGGAGAACUGACAACACUACAUUGUCAUAAGCAGAUUGUACAUCUAAAAAAGUGGCAACAACAGAAUCAUUCCUUGAAAAUGCUAAAUAAAUGUCAGUGGUAAAGAUGGCAAUACUGUCCAUCGUGCUCUUUCCUCGACGAAAACCAAAUUGACUGUCGCAAAGUAAAUUAUUGCUUUCUAAAAACCAUUCAAGACGAGUUUUCACCAAAUGUUCACAGAGUUUUAUCAAGACCGAAGAUAAUGCAAUAGGACGAUAUGAAUUUGCAUUGGAGGGAUUCUUAUUAGGAAAUAUUCAAGACUGUGGUCGCCUAAAUGAGAGAUGAAAGAAUAUGGGAUUCCAUCUUCACCAGGAGCAGAGUCUAUAAGGGAAGAUAGUAUUCCUUUAAAUUCAUACAUAGAAAAUGGACUAUUGAGACCAGAGGGGUUUAAUGGCAUCAGAGGCAUAAUUAUUCUUUCAGGAACUGUAGUAGGAGCAAGUCUGUCGAGGAAUUGAUUAGUUAAUGAAUCGGGGAAAGAACCAGAGGUUUCAGUAAAAGCACACCUGAAUCUUCUAAUAUUACGCCAUACCACUGAAGGACGGACAUUAGGGGAAAUAGAGAGGCAAAAAGUUUUCCAGCUAUCUGCUUUUUUCUUUUUGAAUAAUAAACUAGUGGUCUUGAAAGCAUCUGUAACCAGAUCAAAAUUUUCAGAUGUACAAUUCUCAUAAUAUUGAAGCUCAGCUUGUUUUCUUUUUUUAAUAGCUUCCGAACAUUCUUGAUCCCACCAAGGUGGAGAUGGAAUGAAGCCCAGAGCACCAUUUUUAACUGGAAAAGUUUUGUCAGCUACCUCUAUAAAUAAUUUAGUAAAUGCAUCAGCACAAAUUAAUUCUGAACCAUGUGAGAUAUUAGGAAGGGAAGUCAUCUUUUUCUCUAUAAGGGUUUUAAAGGUAUCCCAAUCAGCAUUAUUAAGUCGAUAUUUUAGUCUAGGAGAAUGUCUAAAUGUAAAAUUAAUAUGAAAAGGAAAACUAAGAAGUAAAGGGAAGUGGUCACUACCAAAUGAAGAAGAGAGUGUAGACCAUGAAAUAGUGGAAGCUAAACAAGGAGUACAAAUACUUAAAUCAGGGACACUUGAGCCUUCAUUGGGAGUGGUCCGCCGGGUCACAGAACCAUUGUUGAGAAAGCAAAGAUUAUGUGAGUCUAACAGUUCCAUCAAUGAAACUCCGUAUGUAUUGGUUGUUGAACUGCCCCAUGAACUAUGUUGACAGUUAAAGUCACCUAAUAAGAUAAAAGGCUUAGGGAGAGAAGAAAUAAUAGAGUCAAUUUCAACAAAGAUAGAAGAACUUGGAUGAGGGAUAUAUAUUGAAACAUAGCAGAUAUUAUUAACAAUAGCAGCAAUAAUUGAAAAAUCAUUACUAUGAGAAGGAAUAGGAAAGAGAGAAAAGGGAAGAUGAUGCUUGACUAGUAAGGCAACCCCACCAUACCCGUCAAUGCGAUCCUCACGGAGACAGGCAUAGCCCGAGUACCUACAUGGAGUACCUGGUUUUAACCAAGUCUCCUGUAGAGCAAAGAUAAAAGGUUUAUAUUUAUUUAUAAGAUAAAUAAUAUCACUUUUCUUAGAUGAAGCACUUCUACAGUUCCACUGUAGAGCUGUGGCUUGCUUGUCCAUUAUUAAUAUAAUUUGGUAAGUUAACGAUAGUGUCAAUUAAAGGAGCAGCGUUGGACGGUGAAAGAAUAUUAGACUGUGAUAAAGUGUUAAUGAGAAUUUUAAUUAGGUCUGCAAUAGAUUGUAAUGUCAAUUCAUUAUUGUUGUUUGGGUUUAAACCACAACCAUUCCUGGGUAAGGGCAUAUCAUAGUCUUUAAUUAAUUCAUGUUGUGUAUUUUUGUCAUAACCUUUGGAUAGUUUAGGAAUAUUUUUUGGUUUAAGAAAAACAGUCUUUUUGUAAGUAUUACUCAAAGACUGUUUACGUGUCUGUUCAUUUUGAGGAGUAGAAAUUGUGGAAGCCCCUACAUUGGAAGAAGAAAGUAAAGCAUCAGCAUAAGACACUUUAGAAAUCGGUGCAUGAAUUUUUGAUGCUUCAGCAUAAGAAAUACAGCUCUUGGCCAUAGUUUCUUUGAUGGCUUUUUGGCGAUUAAACUCUAAACAUUUUUUGCUUGUGGCAAAAUGGGAACCUUGACAUAAGCAGCAGUAUGCAUCAUCCUCUAGGAUAGAGCACUGAUCAGCCGUGUGGUCUUGACCACACUUGAAACAUUUUGGUUUUGAUCUACAAAUUGCUUUCACGUGACCAAAUCUGCAACAAUUGUAACAUUGUAUGGUGGGGAAAAUGUAAAUAUCAACUGGGAGAGCAGUGUAGCAAAUAAAAAUUCGCUUAGGAAGUACUUGUCCAUCAAACGUAAGAACCACAGUCUCAGUAGGCUUAAAUUCACUGCCAUUACUUGCAGUGAUACGCCGUCUCAUUCUUCUAACUUUUAAAAUUGGACCGCAUCCAACAGGUAAAUUAAUAUUCUCCUUAACUUCUUCAUCUGACCACUCAGCAGGUAUGCCUCUUACAACACCCAUACGGGUCACAGUAAAUGUUGGGAUAAAAACCUUAUACUCGACUGAUUGUAAAGCAGAACUAUUUAAGAAUGAAUUUGCGUCUUGGUAAUUAUUAAAAGAAAGAGACAGUCUAUUACGGCCAAUUCGUUUUAAACUUCCGUUAACUAUAUUAUGUAUAGAGUUUCUUUUUAAAAAACGACCAAAAGCAAUAGGAUGGACUGUUACAUUGUCAUUAGGAGUUUGCUGUAUCCUUUGCACAUGUACAACAUAUGGUGCUGCAUCACUCGCCUGAUAUGUUAAACGAGCUACAGAUUCUGGUUUUUUAUUAAACGAAUUUAGCUGUGACUCCGUGAACAACGGAGCAGUACUAAUUUGGGUAUUGGUAUUGGAUAAAGGAAUGCAAUAACA